GGACACGUGCCAGAGCGGCCGAAUGGACUUCACUGCUAAUGAAGGGUCCGCCGAAAGGUGGACCGGGGGUUCAAAUCCCCCCGUGUCCGCGA
rnacentral:tRNA from 1 species